CCCUUAGAUGUUCUGGGCCGCACGCGCGCUACACUGAUGCAUUCAACGAGUUCCUACCUUGGCCGAGAGGCCUGGGCAAUCUUUUGAACUUGCAUCGUGAUAGGGAUAGAUUAUUGCAAUUAUUAAUCUUGAACGAGGAAUUCCUAGUAAACGCAGAUCAUCAAUCUGCAUUGAUUACGUCCCUGCCCUUUGUACACACCGCCCGUCGCACCUACCGAUUGAAUGGUCCGGUGAAGCCUCGGGAUUGUGGUUAGUUUCCUUCAUUGGAAGUUAGCCGCGAGAACUUGUCUGAACCUUAUCAUUUAGAGGAAGGUGAAGUCGUAACA
rnacentral:rRNA from 1 species